CCAUGCGGGGUGGGAGGGCUUGACCCUGUUUGCGUCUUUCUCCCCCUCUCCUUUUUCUUCUGUUCUCCUUUCUGCGCAGCAGUGCUGUGAUGUAGAUACAGUUGAUAGUCUUCCGGGGAGGGGGGUGUCUCCAGAUUCCUUGCAAUUGCAGCACUACAAGGGAUGUAACCCUUCGGGUUAAAUGGUCGCCUGAGGGUGGAUUCUAGGCCCGUUAUGCCCUUGGGUGCGUUUUCCUUUUCCUCAAACAGCCCUACCUAGGUUCCGUCCAGAAAUCUCCAGGCACUUUGUGACCCAAAGUUGUUAACCCUAGAGGCUUGUUAACCCUAUUGCUCAGAACGUGGCUGGCCCAAGUUCUUCCAGGAAGUUUCAUAGCACGAUAGCCAGGUAGCUGCUGUUUCUUUUAGGUUAAUUGUGACUUUUAAAAAGCUAGGGUCUGUGUUCAAAUCUCCCUUUCAGCCACAAAGCUCAUAGUCUACUUUCAUCUAAACCAGGAGACUGCAACCUGCGACUCUCCAGAUAUUCAUGGACUACAAUUCCCACCAGCCCCUGCCAGCAUGGCCAAUUAACCAUGCUGGCAGGGGCUGAUGGGAUUUGUAGUCCAUGAAUGUCUGGAGAGCCGCAGGUUGCAGACCCCUGGUCUAAACCUUUUCACAGGGCAGUUGUUAGGGCAAAAUGAUCUUGUGAAGGACAUGUAUGGUGACCUACAUUUAUUUGGGGGUAGGAUACUUAAGGCUGUUCAGUGAGAUUUAGAUGUGAGAGAGGAAGAAUAAGAAAUUAGUAUUCAAGAUAUAGACUUGUUUUCAGACCUUUUGUUCCUUUGUUGCAUUCCUUCCCUAAGACCCACCCCAAAAAUCAAUGUUAGGUAGGGUGUACUGUAAAGCCAUAUUUUCCUCACUGCUGCAGAGAUGAGGUUCUAAACUGUUUGGAUGCUUUACGGUGCGUUCCUUACAAAUUAACAUUUCACUUCUUCUUGCAGUGGGAGUGUUUGAAAAAUCUCAAUUGCCUGUUUCUGGAAAGGUCGCUUGCCCCACAGAUGAGCAUGUCUUCUAGUUUUGAACUUCAAGUAUCCAGGUUGAUGGAGUCAUCCUUCACUCCUGUAGCGUCUGUCUGUUUCAUUCUGGAGGCUCAAGUGGUGUUACUAUGUCAUCCUACGAACUUCACAACCCACUUGGAAUCUGGAACCUGAACAAUUGCUGUCAUCCUAGCUGUGUUAUUAUGUGAAGGAUCUGGCUUCUGGGUAUCAUAAUUGCCACCGUUCCUCUGCUUUGGCUGUGCCAGAUAUGAAAAGGCAGAUUUAAAGCAAUGCCAGAGACUUUUCAGAUCAUUUUAAAGAAAACCUGGAAGGCAUUUAGAAGACUGGCUUUUAAGAACUUGAUCUUUUUUAUCGUGCAUCAUCACAGAAAGGUGUUUGCAAGUCAACGAGCUAUAGUCUUUCACUGAAAGAUGACAGUAAAGUUCUAGAAUGCUCCGCUUGGGUCCUAGUGCCUACCUAUUCUCCAUUCUGGAAUAAAGAAAGUCAAAGAAAUGGUGGAUUACUAGUACACUUCGGCUGUCAUCUUUCAGUAGAAAAGAGUAUAGAGAAUUGAAAGUGUUAAGCAGCAUGAUGACUGCUAGCUGGCAUUUACUGGAGGCGGCAGCUGCAUUUAAGAGAAGCUACAGCUUUCAGCUGGGUAGCCAUGAUGGUCUGCAGGGUGUGAUGAGACUUCUUGGUUUUUGUUGCAGCAGAUGCACUUUUGUGAACUGCUGCUUGUUUUCAUGCAUUGCUUGCCUUCAUGUACUCAUUAAAAAUGCCUGUGUUACAAUAAGCUUCUUAAGUUUUUACAGUGCUGCUAAGACCAUAAUUUUCAGCAUCAAUAGUACAUUUUGAGACUCAGCUUCAAAGUUGAAUUGUGUCACUCCAAGAUGGUUGGGAUGUGGCCUAGAUUGCUGAAUCCUGAAAAAUCAAUUUUGUGUGUCUGAAACCAAGCCAGUUUUUAUGUUCUAGCUAUUUAUAUUCAGCCAUUUCUCUCCCCACUCCUCUUUUGACUUCCUGUUGUCUCUCAAUCCCUGGUUGGAUAACAAUAAAGUUUGUUUUUCUGUCUUGUCUUUUA